GUCGGCUGAUGCUUACCUGCUCGGAGACGACAGACAUCACACGAAAAUAAAUGGACGUUGGAAUAUUUGAAGGACAUUGACUCUGCCAUUUGGUUUUACCUGCUAAUGGAAGCAACAUGUGGAAGGCAGACGAGAUGUUAUCGUCCGGUGUUUGUUGGAGUACCUUUGAGAGCUAAUCGAGGGCUACCAGGUAAAUUUUGAAA